rnacentral:rRNA from 1 species
CCUACGGGAGGCAGCAGUGAGGAAUAUUGGUCAAUGGCCGUAAGGCUGAACCAGCCAAGUAGCGUGAGGGAAGACUGCCCUAUGGGUUGUAAACCUCUUUUAUGCGGGGAUAAAGGUGUCCACGUGUGGAUGUUUGCAGGUACCGCAUGAAUAAGGACCGGCUAAUUCCGUGCCAGCAGCCGCGGUAAUACGGCAGGUCCGGGCGUUAUCCGGAUUUAUUGGGUUUAAAGGGAGCGUAGGCCGGUCUUUAAGCGUGCCGUGAAAUUUUGUGGCUCAACCAUGGGAGUGCGGCGCGAACUGGAGACCUUGAGUGAGCGGAAGGCAGGCGGAAUUCGUGGUGUAGCGGUGAAAUGCUUAGAUAUCACGAAGAACCCCGAUUGCGAAGGCAGCAUGCCGCAGCGUUACUGACGCUGAAGCUCGAAAGCGCGGGUAUCGAACAGGAUUAGAUACCCUUGUAGUC